rnacentral:lncRNA from 1 species
GAGAGGAGAGGAGACCCCUUGGGAAUGGUCCCCCCUGGGUCACUCUGUGCCCCCAUCAUGGGGCUGGGUGACCUGGGGGGACACAGGUGGCCCCUGGUGACAGGAUUUGGGAUUGGAGGUGCCCCUCAGAGGGGUCUGUGCUGGUCUGUGGGGUCACUGUGUGUCCCCAUCAUGGGGCUGGGUGUCCUGAGGGGACACAGGGAUGUCGUGGGGGGACACAGGUGGCCCCUGGUGACAGGAUUUGGGGUCGGAGGUGGGAACAGCCCCACAGAGGGGUCUGUGGGACGUGAUGGUGUGGGGAAGUGCAGAGUGAGGNUGAUUGGCCAUUAAUUAGAAACAACCACAUGAGACCAAUCACAGAUCCACCUGUUGCAUUCCACAGCAGCAACAGGUAUCAUUGUAAAUCAAUGUUUACAUUUUGUUCCUGAGGCUUCUCAGGAGAAAAAAAUCCUAAAGCAAAGAUUUUUUAGAAAAUAUCAUGGCUACACAGGAUUGGGGUCACCGAGGGCUUUUUGGGUGGAGUGGCCACACUGCUGGCAGCCAGAUCCAUCCCAUUUUCCAUGCUGGGUGACAGGGACGUGCGCUGGAACAAAGGGACAAUCCUGAAGGCGUCCGUGGACUACAUCAAGAGGAUGCAGAAGGACCUGCAGAGGUCCCGGGACCUGGAGAACCACUCGCGGCGCCUGGAGAUGGCCAACAAGCAGCUGCUGCUCCGCAUCCAGGUGAGCUCCCCUGGCUCUGCCCUGUCCUCUCCCCACCAAACCCUCGCUCCUGCCCUGCUGAGGCCAUGGCCAGGGUGUCUGCUGUGACCGUGCUCACAGGGCUCUGAGGGUGAGGGAAGAGACGAGGAUCUGAUUCCAUGUUACAGAAGACUGAUUUAUUACUUUAUUAUAUCUAUAUCUAUAUCUAUAUCUAUAUCUAUAUAUCUAUGUAUCCAUAUCUAUAUCCAUAUCUAUAUCUAUAUCUAUAUCUAUAUAUAUAUAUCUAUAUAUAUAUCUAUAUAUAUAUAUAUCUAUAUAUAUAUCUAUAUCUAUAUCUCCA